rnacentral:rRNA from 1 species
UACGAAGGGGGCUAGCGUUGUUCGGAAUUACUGGGCGUAAAGCGUGCGCAGGCGGCUUCUCAAGUCAGGGGUGAAAGCCCAGAGCUCAACUCUGGAAUUGCCUUUGAGACUGAGUGGCUUGAGUACGAGAGAGGUGAGUGGAAUUCCCAGUGUAGAGGUGAAAUUCGUAGAUAUUGGGAAGAACACCGGUGGCGAAGGCGGU